rnacentral:rRNA from 1 species
AUACAGAGGGUGCGAGCGUUAAUCGGAAUUACUGGGCGUAAAGCGCGCGUAGGCGGCUUAUUAAGUCAGAUGUGAAAUCCCCGGGCUCAACCUGGGAACUGCAUCUGAUACUGGUAAGCUAGGGUUUUGGAGAGGGAAGUAGAAUUUCAGGUGUAGCGGUGAAAUGCAUAGAGAUCUGAAGGAAUACCAGUGGCGAUGGCGACUUCCUGGCCAAAAACUGACGCUGAGGUGCGAAAGCGUGGGUAGCAAACGGGAUUAGAUACCCUUGUAGUCC